AAUCAACGCUGGCGGCGUGCCUCAGACAUGCAAGUCGAACGAUUAAAGCUCUCUUCGGGGAGUGCAUAAAGUGGCGCACGGGUGAGUAACACGUAAGUAAUCUACCUCUGAGUGGGGAAUAACGUCCGGAAACGGACGCUAAUACCGCAUAAUGCAGCGGCAUCAUAAGAUGACAGUUGUUAAAGAUUUAUCGCUUAGAGAGGAGCUUGCGGCAGAUUAGCUAGUUGGUAAGGUAACGGCUUACCAAGGCUACGAUCUGUAACCGGUCUUAGAGGACGGUCGGUCACACUGACACUGAAUAACGGGUCAGACUCCUACGGGAGGCAGCAGUCGGGAAUUUUGGGCAAUGGGCGAAAGCCUGACCCAGCAACGCCGCGUGAAGGAUGAAGUAUUUCGGUAUGUAAACUUCGAAAGAAUAGGAAGAAUUAAUGACGGUACUAUUUAUAAGGUCCGGCUAACUACGUGCCAGCCGCCGCCGUAAAAC
rnacentral:rRNA from 1 species